rnacentral:rRNA from 1 species
CCUACGGGAGGCAGCAGUGAGGAAUAUUGGUCAAUGGACGCAAGUCUGAACCAGCCAAGUAGCGUGCAGGAUGACGGCCCUACGGGUUGUAAACUGCUUUUAGAAAGGAAUAAAGUGGGGCACGUGUGCCUUUUUUUGUGUGUAUUAUCAGUAAGAGUCGGCGAACUUCGUGUAAGAAGCGGCGGUGAUACGGAGGAGCCGAGCGUUAUCCGCGUUUAUUGUGUUUAAAGGGAGCGUAUAUGGGCUGUUAAGUCAGCUGUGAAAGUUUGCGGCUCAACCGUGAAAUUGCAAUUGAUACUGGAGGCCUUGAGUACACUCAGGGAAGGCGGAAUUCAUGGUGUAGCGGUGAAAUGCUUAGAUAUCAUGAAGAACUCCGAUUGCGAAGGCAGGUGUC